AAUAGAUACCCCUGGUAGUCCAUGCCGUAAACGUUGGGCACUAGGUGUGGGGCUCAUUCCACGAGUUCCGUGCCGCAGCAAACGCAUUAAGUGCCCCGCCUGGGGAGUACGGCCGCAAGGCUAAAACUCAAAGGAAUUGACGGGGGCCCGCACAAGCGGCGGAGCAUGCGGAUUAAUUCGAUGCAACGCGAAGAACCUUACCAAGGCUUGACAUGCACGGGAAGCCACCAGAGAUGGUGGUCUCUUUGGACACUCGUGCACAGGUGGUGCAUGGUUGUCGUCAGCUCGUGUCGUGAGAUGUUGGGUUAAGUCCCGCAACGAGCGCAACCCUCGUCCCAUGUUGCCAGCGGGUUAUGCCGGGGACUCAUGGGAGACUGCCGGGGUCAACUCGGAGGAAGGUGGGGAUGACGUCAAAUCGAUCAUGCCCCUUAUGUCUUGGGCUUCACGCAUGCUACAAUGGCCGGUACAAAGGGCUGCGAUACCGUAAGGUGGAGCGAAUCCCAAAAAGCCGGUCUCAGUUCGGAUUGGGGUC
rnacentral:rRNA from 1 species